GGAAUUGUCAACAAAGGGACGAGGGACGCACAACUCGGCACCACAGCGCGCGCCGGCAUCUCGCGGGCCCCGAGGGCGCUCCGGCCAGACGGGGGUCGAGGAAGCUCGUGGGUCCGCAACAGCAUCAUCUGGGGUUGCCAAAGGUCAGAAAAUGACUAUUGAUUAACCUAUUAGGAUACCUGUAGUUGCCGAGAGAAAUAAAAAACGACGUAAAAUAACCAACUAUUUUAAAAAAAGAAGCCUUAAAGAAGCUUCUCGGAGUAGUUAAAUGACUUUAGCAGAUGAAAAAAAGUCGGAAAUGAGGCGCCCGAGAAGGAGCCGAGAUUGGCAGCGGCCGGGGUGGACACAAACCCUCCAAGAUUUAACUUCCGCGGACGAAGCGAGGAUGAGACCAAUACACACACAAAAUUCCUUGGCCGCCUCGUUGCGGGCGGCGAACGCCUGCCUGGCGGGAAUGGUUCCUGAGCCCAAGUCCAGUCCACUGAGGCCUGGAGAGGGAAGGCUGGCAUCACCAGAGCAUGGUGCACCAGGGGAGGAGGUCGAGAGGAACUAAAGAGUGAAAUAUUUUCAGAAGUCACCCAGAAAACUCAUUUAAUUUUAGGUGGACGGUGGUGCUUCUGGAGCUCUCUCCCUCUCCUACAACUUUCCCCCGGCCUAGACACAUACUCCCUCCAGAGGAAAAUCCGUAAACUUGCUUCAUUACAUGCGAUGCGACACACAGAUUGGCUUUAACCAUCAUGAGACCAUUGCCCCGGGUAUGAACACUAGUUCACUCGAUCCCGACUCCGCAGGCGUUCCUGGUUGGGCCAGGGGGUCUCCCUUCCGAGACUCCCGUGAACCUCCGCGAUUUUUCUGUAUCUAAAUGAACCCCCGCCCCCGCUUGCACCUGACCCUAAAACGCAUCUCUGAGUUGAUUUCCGCAGCUGUAUGGUUUUUGUGGCCGGCCGGCUCCGAGCCGUUUACAAUGCUGUCUGUGCAACUCCAGAAGAACCAGCGUGAGCGGUGAGUUGGGCGUCGGUUGCCCCCGGCUGCUGCAGGGGUCGUGGCUGCAACUGCCCGAGCCAAUGAACAAUUACAAAAAGAAGGUCGGAAGGGCAAGAAAAAGAAACCAAAAUUUAUAAAUUGAGAGGCCCCUUUGCCCAGCUUUGGGUUGCCCAAUCCCAGGGCAGACGCGGGCCGCACGCGGUACCAGCCCCACGGUAGCCUGGGCUGCUGGGCGGGCAUGGGCGCGCGGGUGUGCGCGCGCUGGCGUGUUGCGGCUGCGGAGGCUGCCCGCGCACAUCUUUUUGAAGUAACCCACAAAUGAGCCUAAUUUCGAUUCCGCCGCCCGCAGGAGAUGGCUCCUGGAACUUCUCGGCGCCGCUGGCUCAACCUCGCCCUCCCUCCGCCGAGGUCCGGCUCAUCUGUCCAUUCCCCGGUGUCUCCUUGGAAUCUCCCUAGGGGAAGGGGGAAAGCAGCGGGUGGUGGUGAACAACUCCCAGCCGCCGGUUCCAUUUGUUGCGCUUUUAUCCUUCGACACAAUAAAAGUCAAAUUAAUUGAUUCAUACC
ensembl:lincRNA uncharacterized LOC101424670